ACGUGCUGGGCCAACUCUUUAGCACUGAGCCUUAUUCGCAGCCUGCUCUCGCUUUUCUGUUUAACACAGAACUCAGUUCUGUGCCUUUCAUAGAGAAAUUAGAGGUAGAAGGACCUUCCAGAGACAGGCAAAUCUAACACUUUAAUUCAUAAGCCACAGACACUGAAACCAUCCUCCUUCUGAGACGACUGACCCUUUGCCCAGUAGCAAAGGGGUAUUCCAGAUGAACACAGUGGGGUGUCAUCGAUGGGGUUUGAGAGUCACGGUUCAACUUGGAUAAGAAAACCAGUGAUGGCCAGAUACUACUAUUGUCUAUUUCAUGAGGUGAUUGAGAGCAUUGCUAAGGCUGCUGAAAUGGCUCAGUAGACAAGAGUGCUUGCAGCCAACCCUGACCUGAAUCCAAUCCCUGGAAUUUAUGUGGUGCCCACACAGAUCAUAAGAAGGAGCUGAUUUUCCUCAACUGGAGUUCAUCAACUGGGUGUCCUGGGAACCACUUUGAUUUCUCUGGUCUCCUAUGGCCUGAGAUCACCAACUAGUCUACACUUGGUGGUCAGUGAGCCCCAGUCCCAGUCAUCCUCAUGUUUCUGUUUCCUCGGCACAAGAAUUACAGGCAUACACCACCGUGCCAAGCAGGUUUACAUGGAUCAGGUCCUCAUGGUGGUGAGAUUAAACACCUUCCUGACUGAGCUAUCCCCAUAGCUCCACUCCCUAAUAUCCUUUAUAAUAAGUUGAUAUUUGUAAAUCUACUGCUUCUCUGAGUUCUAUGAACUCAGACUUAUCAAACCUAAGGAGAGGGUGAUGGGAGCCACCAAUGUCGAGGCAAUAGGGCAGGAGUUAUGGAUGCCCAGAUUUGGGUUUGACAUUUGGAGCAGAGAGGUGGGGGUAGAGUUGUGGUGAGGAUGAACAGGUUUAUGGAACUGAGUUCUCGAUCUCAGAGACUGGAUUCUGACUCCAUGUUGAUGUGGGAAGGUCAUUGGUUAAUUAAUAAAGAAACUGCUUGGCCUCAUAGGUUAGAACAUAGGUGGGUGGAGUAAACAGAACAGAAUACUGGGAGUAGGAAGUGAGGUAAGGCGCCAUGCUUCUGCUCUCCAGGGCAGAAGCGAUGAAGCUCCGACCCAGGAUGGACGUAGGAUAGAUUCUUCCUGGUAAGCGCACCUCGUGGUUACACACAUUAAUAGAAAUGGACCAAGCAGUGUUUAAAAGAAUACUAUUUGUGUGUUGUUAUUUCGGGGCAUAAGUUAGCCAGGUGGCCGGGAGCUGGGUGGCAGGAAUGCAGCCCGCAGCUCCUUCAACACCAUGUAGAUAAUGUCAUAACUGAAUUGCAUUAUAGGAACACCCGUGGGUAUGCGUAGUAUGAGUGGGGAAGAGACACACAUACGUCUGGUCAAAGAAAUGUUCUGUGACAUGUUAUAGCAUGUGACAUGUUAUAGCAUGUGACCUGUGCAUAGCAGAAGAGAGAGUCAGUUUGGACCAAUAGGCCCAAGUUUGUAAGUUUAAUCCAUUGUAGUACAACAAACACACAAAACAAGUUUUUCCUAACAGAUACAAGUUAGUGUGGAUUUUGAAAGCAGAAGUCUUAAGUUUUUUUUAAAAAAACUUAUGUGAUUAUG